GCUCUGAAAGGAACAGCAUGGAAUCCAUUUGAAAAAUGCAAUCAAAGGGAAAACAUGCCACACUAAAGGAAGAACCUCAGCAGAAUCCAGGAUAUGAAUUUGUAAAUACAGUGGACAACUCGGCAGCUGAAAUCGCGCAUGUUAAAUGCACGUAAGAUGCGACAGACCAGUAUUCCAAGGGACCACUCAAGGUCAAAUGGCCGUUAACACCCCUCCAGUUAUAGAGGGGAAAGACGUAUGUACGUACGUGUGUGUGUGUGUUAUAGAUUGCUGUAAUAAGCCAUAAAUCCAGUGCGUCUAUUCAGUCCAUGAAUACAUGGCUACAACACUGUAAACAAGAACUUACAAAAUCUGUUAAGGAUCAAUGGGUGCAUUCUUUUAAACCUUGACACACAUUUUAAGAAUUUUACCUCCAGCAGAGGUUUCCACAGCCACAUUAGAACUACAGCCUUUAUUCCACCUGAUGCUAUAGCUUGAACUGCUAUAGCCACAACAUUCCACAAAUGUUGUCAAGAACUGUUUGGCAAGGUAAUCGUACAGUUCUCCUUCCCACUCUGGAAGAAGAUUUUUCUGUUGUAAACCAACCGUGCUAGCCAAAAAUCACACUCUGGACAUUAACCCCUAGCUAAUCUAGGUGAAUAUGAGCAACUAGCUAAAUUUUACAGGGAAAAAAGAUUAAUCUCUGGGGGAUGUGAACAACCUUUUUUCUAUAAAAUUUCUCACCACUACAACUCCACAAGUAGGUCGCCAUAGCAUAGAUAAUGCCAUUGGCAUUUUAACUUCUGUGUUGUCUGACCCUGGUCACAGCAAUUCUAGAUGAUACUGUUGCUAAAACAGAGGCAGUCACUGUUGGCUGAUCUACAUUAGCAUCCCCACAUUCCUACGGCUGGUGGAGCUACACAAGCAGCAUAAAUAAUGGAAAGUUUCAGGAAAACAGAUUUAGUGCAGACAAUGCCUAAAUGAAGACAUCAUGCAAUCAUAUUAAAUGUGGAGGGAAAUUGCUUCAGAUAUUGUUGUGUUAAGGGCCAGCAUUUGAAAGCUGUCAACAAGGACACUAUGUAUGUGAAGAAGGCUGCCAUGAGAAGUAAUGUCCUGCUAAAGUUUUUUUUCUUAAAAACACACAAAGAAGACAUGCCUAUGUAUAGAACAAUACGAUAUACCACCAUUAAAGUAGAUUAACUUGUUUAUGAGAUAAAAAAAGAGGUAUGAUUUCAUUUAAAAUAUGGACAGUUGACACACAAGUCUACAGAAAGAAACACCCUGGAUCAAGUUGCUGGGGCAGGCUCUCAAAUCAAACCUGCACCUUUAUCUGCAAAACAUUCCAGACAUGGAGGAUAUAAGGAAGCACACUUACUGAAGUAAUCCAUCUGCUGGGCCACCUGGGAGGACAUCUGAGAUAACUAUGGACGUUUCGCCAUUUUCAAAAUGAGGAUUGUCUCUGCCACCGGAAACUGCAAUCCCAAACCCUCUUUUUGAAUCCUAAAAAAAAAAAAACCCACACACAUACAUAAACAGAACUGAACACUAU